GACGUAGGGCGCGAGCGUUGUUCGGAUUCAUUGGGCGUAAAGGGUGCGUAGGCGGCGCGGUAAGUCGGGUGUGAAAUCUUGGAGCUUAACUCCGAAACUGCAUUCGAUACUGCCGUGCUUGAGGACUGGAGAGGAGACUGGAAUUUACGGUGUAGCGGUGAAAUGCGUAGAUAUCGUAAGGAAGACCAGUGGCGAAGGCGGUCUCCUGGGGCAUUCUUGACGCUGAGGCGCGAAAGCUGGGGGAGCAAACGGG
rnacentral:rRNA from 1 species